AUUCUUUUAGUAUAUAAAGUAUAUUUAACUUCCAAUUAAAAGGACUUAAUUAAAGAAAGAAUA
rnacentral:tRNA from 1 species